GGGAUUGCCCCAGUAACGGCGAGUGAAGCGGCAACAGCUCAAAUUUGAAAUCUGGCCCCCAGGGCCCGAGUUGUAAUUUGCAGAGGAUGCUUUUGGCGCGGUGCCUUCCGAGUUCCCUGGAACGGGACGCCAUAGAGGGUGAGAGCCCCGUCUGGUCGGACGCCUAGCCUGUGUAAAGCUCCUUCGACGAGUCGAGUAGUUUGGGAAUGCUGCUCUAAAUGGGAGGUAUAUGUCUUCUAAAGCUAAAUACCGGCCAGAGACCGAUAGCGCACAAGUAGAGUGAUCGAAAGAUGAAAAGCACUUUGAAAAGAGGGUUAAAUAGUACGUGAAAUUGUUGAAAGGGAAGCGCUUGUGACCAGACUUGGGCCCGGUGGAUCAUCCAGCGUUCUCGCUGGUGCACUCCGCCGGGUUCAGGCCAGCAUCAGUUCGCCGCGGGGGAAAAAGGCUUCGGGAACGUGGCUCCUACGGGAGUGUUAUAGCCCGUUGCAUAAUACCCUGGGGCGGACUGAGGUUCGCGCUCCGC
rnacentral:rRNA from 1 species